GAUGAACGCUGGCGGCGUGCCUAAUACAUGCAAGUCGAGCGAACAGGCGAGGAGCUUGCUCCUUCGACGUUAGCGGCGGACGGGUGAGUAACACGUAGGUAACCUACCUAUAAGACUGGGAUAACUUCGGGAAACCGGAGCUAAUACCGGAUAAUAUUUCGAACCGCAUGGUUCGAUAGUGAAAGAUGGCUUUGCUAUCACUUAUAGAUGGACCUGCGCCGUAUUAGCUAGUUGGUAAGGUAACGGCUUACCAAGGCAACGAUACGUAGCCGACCUGAGAGGGUGAUCGGCCACACUGGAACUGAGACACGGUCCAGACUCCUACGGGAGGCAGCAGUAGGGAAUCUUCCGCAAUGGGCGAAAGCCUGACGGAGCAACGCCGCGUGAGUGAUGAAGGUCUUCGGAUCGUAAAACUCUGUUAUUAGGGAAGAACAAACGUGUAAGUAACUGUGCACGUCUUGACGGUACCUAAUCAGAAAGCCACGGCUAACUACGUG
rnacentral:rRNA from 1 species